UCCUACAGCGCCGGCAUCCCCCAGGGACGCUGGUUCGUGUCCCAGCUGCUCCACCUGCCAUCCCUGCUAAGGCCUGCGAAACGCUGCGGCCCUCCUCCUGCAGCUGCCUGUUUGACCAUCCUCGUCAUGUACGGGGUUCCUGCAGGGUCAGGGCCAGGCGCAGACUUGCUUAGCGUGGCGUUAAAUUGUCUCCAUGGGGAUCCAACUUCUGAGCCAAAGUCUUGUUGGUGUUAGGCUCGCAUUAGAGCGUAAAGACAUCAGUCAGCACGGAGUCAGAGGUACAAUCCCCGCGGAUCAGCUUCUCCCACGCAGGAGCGGAAAAGCAGACCCUGGCUCCUGUCCCAUUAGCGUCUCUCUCUUCUGCAUAGAAAGUGCCACAGCUUGGCGAGAACAGAUACCGACCGUCGCCGCAGAUUCUCCCAGGUGCGGUUGUUUGUUGACUUCAUUUCCACGUACGUCGCUGGAAAAAUGCUGACUGCCACGCACACCCUUCCGUCGUGCCACAUUUCGGCUUUGUGCUCAGGUCGCCGCACCUCUGAGCGCAGGGACCACGGACCACCUGUGUCUGCUGCUGACAGGGACCACAGACCACCUGUGUCUGCUGCCAACUGGCGACCACAGACCACCUCUGUCUGCUGACAGAGGACCACAGACCAUGGACCACCUGCGUUUCUUUGCUUCGGUUUCAUUUUCUCCUACUUCCUUUCUCCACCUCUCUGGACUCCGUUUUGCUGCACGGUGUGAGGUAAGGAUGCAGUUCUCUCUCAUGGGAACAACCGGUGGCCCCAGUGCCAAAGACCAGCCCAGCUCCCUCUCGCCUGUGAAUGUCACCCUCUGAGGACUUCGCGGCAGACUGACCAGACCCUCGGCACUGUGAGCUGGGGGCACGAGUCCCACUGGGCGCUCAGCCCGGCUUCGUCACAGGCCAUGCCGAUGCGUUUCUUCUAAGGGCAUGGCUAGGCAGUUCAGCAUCUGCAGUCAGCUCAAAGGCAACCCUUCGGCCUUUCUGCCUUCCCCCUCCCCCAGCUGUGCAGGGCACUCGUGGAACCGGGCUGCUUCCGCCCAAAGAACUCAGCCCUGCCUCUCUCCAGCCAGGGCACAAACAGCGGAGUGUCUUCGCGUCCUGUGGAGCUUUCCUCCAAGCCAUCUCGUGUGCAAAGGUAGAAGCCAAGCCUUUUCGUCUGGCUCCCCAUUAAACCCACUACAGAACACCAUGUUCAGCCCGAGGCCCCCCACACGGGACCAACAGUGUCGUCAGCACCGUGGGACCCGGCUGCACUGCGGUGAGGCUGUGUUGAUCGGACACGCAGUGCUCAGUGGCGCAGUAACACAGCUCCGCGGUCACUCACAAGGCGCACGGCGCCCAGGUGCCAGUUGUCUUAUUUUAUGCACUCAGGUGUCCAAGUCCUUGUCCCCUGGCGAUGGAACGGAGGCCAUGUUUGCUUCAGAGGAAGGCGGCCUCUCACUCUCAGGGCUCCUACUCCACGUGGGAAAGGCCUCAUGGAGAAGGCAGUUUGGGAGAGCAGUGGGCAUUUGCAGCUGGCCCACAAGGAGCCCAGCACCUGACCAGGGCCGAGCCUGGGCUCUGGGACUUCGUCUCCAGCAUCUGUGAGGUCAGCAGCCCGAGUCCCGGGGCAGGUGGAAACCGCAGGUAGGAGCCACGAUGCCGGGAGCUCUGAUGCUGGUGUUUCAACUGCCUGCUGCCCGGGCCCACUGCACAGUUACAGUAAGAGCAAACCUCUGAGGGGUCACAUAUCCCCGGGGAACUUGGGGCACCCACGGUCCACAGGAGUUAGAGGAGGACGGAGCUGCUGGGGACAGGAGGCGCAGCAGGUGCGUCACGUUCCCCUGCCCCUUCACUGCCCGCGGCGUGAGCUGCACACGCUGCCCCCAUGUUACAGGUGGCUCCAGUUCACGUGGCGCAUGCUGUGAGGAGCUGCAACCGGGGGUUCCUCAAGUGCAGCUUCCGGCUCUGUGGCUUCUGCAGGGUCACUUGUUGCUAGAGACCUGGUGUCUGGUGCAGUGAGCAGAGCCAGCCCGACAAUGACACACACUACAGCACGCGUGAGCACUGCAAACACGCGGUGCACAGAGCCAGCCCCAGAGGCACGACACACACUACAGCACGCGUGAACACUGCAAACACGCGGUGCGCAGAGCCAGCCCCAGAGGCACGACACAUACUACAGCACGCGUGAGCACUGCAAACAUUGCAAACACGCGGUGCGCAGAGCCAGCCCGAGGAAUGACACACACUACAGCACGCGUGAGCACUGCAAACACGCGGUGCGCAGAGCCAGCCCCAGAAGGCCGCGUCCUCCGUGACUCCACCCCCGCCACGUUCCCUGUGGGAAACGCCCAGGAGACAAAGCUGAGGAGGGGAGAGCGGGGUGACUGUUGACAGGCAUGGGGUUCCUCCGAGGGCGGGGUGGUAAGAAUGUUCCAGAAUUAUGUCGUCAUAACCAUCACACAGCCCUCCUGAGAUACUGAAAAGCCCUGAACUGUACACUCUAAAUCCUGAAUUCCAUUUUGUGUAAAUUUAUGUCAAAUACAAAGAAGCAAACAGGCAGCAGGAAGGGAAGACAAAGGCCACCCUCCGGUUGGCUGAGCCCCCACCCCAGCCCGGGGCUCUGGCGGCUCCGCCCACAGGCUCCAAGUGCAGGGGCUUCAGUCUGUGCCCGGGCCUGAGGGCUGUCCUGGUCCCGGUACCCACCCACGGGGGGCAGGCUGUCCUGGUCCUGGUACCCACCCACCGGGCCCGCGGGCUGUCCUGGUCCCGGUACCCACCCACGGGGGGCGGGCUGUCCUGGUCCCGGUACCCACCCACGGGGGGCAGGCUGUCCUGGUCCUGGUACCCACCCACGGGGGGCGGGCUGUCCUGGUCCCGGUACCCACCCACGGGGGGCAGGCUGUCCUGGUCCUGGUACCCACCCACCAGGCCCGCGGGCUGUCCUGGUCCCGGUACCCACCCACGGGGGGCAGGCUGUCCUGGUCCUGGUACCCACCCACCAGGCCCGUGGGCUGUCCUGGUCCCAGUACCCACCCACCGGGGGUGGGCUGUCCUGGUCCCGGUACCCACCCACCGGCACCAGCUGAAGCUAGGAUGCGGUAUUUGCUUGUUGACUGUUGGCUGACUGACUCCGUGACCGAGAUGCACGCAUGCCCAGACCCUCCAAGGACAGGGAAACCCUUGAGGCCAAGACGGACGACAAGACGGCAGACUGACGGGCGGGUGUGCGUCCCUGGCAGGCGGGGAGGACAGAAAGGAGAGGGCUCUCUGGGCUCUCUGGGCCAGCCCUGGACAAACCAGGACGCACGGGGGAAAGGGAAACCGGGCGGGCUCUGAGCCGGGAGAGGACGGUCCUGGGAGGGAGGCCCAGCGAGGUGGCCAAAGACUCCGCCUCCUGUCGGGGAAGUACCCGGCUCCCUCUGGACUGGAGCCCCUGGGGCUACAGCUUUGUGGAGCCGGGCACCGAGCAGGGAAGGGGCCGCUCCUAACGUCUCGCCCCGGGCGAGGGCUGAGACCCGGGUCUUACCUCUGAACACACCCUGCAAGGCCGCGGGUGACGGGGGCAGAACACCAGGGACAGUGAAAGUUUACUCGGGUCUGGGAUGUCACCAGAGGUCCUGGGGAGCCCCAGCAGGAGGCGGGUGACUCCCCACCCUCACCCCAGCGCCCUAUGUGGCACCCGACAAACAUAGUCCUGGAUGCCAGAACCUCCUGAAACAGUGGCUCAAACGCUGAGAGCGGGAGACACGAUCAGGCAGCAGGAAGGGUAGCAUCUCGGGCACAUUCGCCCGCGGUCAACAAGGGAGCACGGGUGUGCCGACACAUUCUCCCACCCCAGCGGCUCGGCCUCACCGUUCCUUCCUAGCAGUCUGGGGGCCGACCUCGCCUGGGUCCCAGGACGGGCAGGUGGUGCAGGGACAGCCAGGCAGACUUCCUCUGUGGUGACUGGUUGGAAGAGGGGCACAUGACCAAAUCGGAGCCAAUCAGCCUCGCCCUGGCGCCUGUGCAGCAGCCGUCAGGAGAGGAAGCGGCUGCCAGGGCUGCCCGGGCUGCCGGGAGGCGAGGAGCAGGUGUGAGCUGCGUAGUUGGCAGUCGCCGUCUGGAUUCAGAAGGAGGAAGACAGAGACGCAGGUGUUGGUGCACCCGGACCCCUCUGUGCCUGCAGCUCCCACUUCCCGUAAAGCUUGUGGUUCUGUGAGCCACAUCCCCUCUUUGCUUAAAUCAGCUCGAAUUGAGUUUCUGUCAUUUGCAACCAAGCAUCUUUUUUUAAAAAAUUUUUAUUUAGUAGAUAUAAAUUUCCAAAGUACAGUUUAUGGGUUAUAAUGACUUUUUCCCUCCCAUAACUUCCCUCCCACCCGCAACCCUCCCAUCUCCCGCUCCCUCUCCCCUUCCAUUCGCAUCAAGAUUCAUUUUCAAUUCUCUUUAUAUACAGAAGAUCAAUGUAGUAUAUAUUAAGUAAAGAUUUCAACAGUUUGCACCCACACAGAACAUAAAGUGUUAGUUAUAGCAUUAAUUCACAUUGGACAACACAUGAAGGACAGAUCCCACGUGAGGAGUAAGAGCACAGUGACUCCUGUUGCACAACCAAGAAUCUUAACACAUAAACCGCCAAGCGUCCCGCAGGCUCCGUGGCGGGACCGCAGGUGACGGCGCCUCCUCCCUCAGGGUGGCUCUGCAACGUCGCUGCCACUGACUUGCAGCAUAUUCGCCAGACUCGGGUGAGGUUACCAACGGCUGAAAUCACAGAAUUUGGAAUGGCCAGGACCACUGGUCUUGGGCCUCCCUGACACACAAUCGCACUGUGAGAAUGGAGUCCGGUUGUACUUGAAUUCACACCGCACGGUGUCUUACACGUCACUGAUGCCCGUUGAGCCGUAACCAGCAAUCUUAGGAAGGUGGUUAAAGUCCGGGCCCUGGCCUCACGUCCGUUCGGUCCAGAAAACUCUGCCAGAAUGCCACACAGCCACCUCUCAUUGUCUGAAAAAUCAUCACCGAGAAACUAUUACCACAAAUGAAAAGGAAUCUGGAAAAACUAAUUAAGCCACAUAGCAAUGAGAUAUUUGUUGUAUUUAAUUUCGGGCCAGCUAAUUGACUCCUGGCAUUCCUAAUGAACGAGGAGAAAAUGACACAGAGCCUCAACAUAAUCACCCCCCCCCCGCCAUGAAACAAUCCCAUGAAUAAUUCACUCUCAACACUGCUUUAAAGGAACAAAAAUGAGAAACAAAGGUCUGCUUCCCAAAUGACACCAGACACGCGCAGAAAGCUCCCAAGACAUCAAAUUAAAUAAGCACCAUUAAUAAAUAAUCUGAAUCGCAGUGCCUAAUGCGUUGAAUAAACAGGAUUUACAUCCCAAAAGCUUAGGGACCCUCAGCUGGGUUAGAAAAGAAAGAGAUUCGGAUUCCAUGGGGCAUGGUUUCCAUUUUAAUAAUGUAUGACCAUAAAUACCAUAUUUCCUUUUCCAAUUUCAUUAUUACCUAACAACAAAACAUCUGGGCGCUCACCGGGAUCGCACAGCAGUGUUACUUUAAGUGUGUCCAUUCUGUGUGUGCUCCUGGCUUUGAAACGGAGCCGAAGCCAAGCCUUCCGUGUGGGGGUCCUCUCCCUCCCAGCUCCCCUCAGCCCUGCGCCCCCCAUGCUGCCCUACACCCAUUCCUGACCUCUCCCUUGCUCCGGGUCAGGGAGACUCAACUCCACUGCCUGACUGCCAGCGAGCCAGGCCCACGGAGGGCUCGGGGACGGGGGUAGGGCAGGAGGCAGGAGGCGGGCGCUGCAAGGCUCCCCUGGCAAAGGGGCACUGGCAACCGUGCCCCAGCCUCGCAGUCCCCUCCGUACGUGGUGACAGCGCAGCUCCUGUGAGUGCCCUCGGCAUCCUGCGUCUACAUCUUUGCUGUCCCAGGGGCUCACCGGGGCCUCCAGGAGGGGCCUGUUUCCUGGCCAGACCCAGACAGGUGCACUUACCCACCCUUCCCUCCUGCAGGCCCUCCCCCUCCCCCGCGGGAGCCUGGUCCAGUGCUUCCUCCGGCCCCUGCCUGCUGGGACUGCCUCUCCUUGGGGACUGGACAUCACCCCUUUGCCCACCCUGCAUCCACCUGCCACGUGGGGGCCGCGCUGUGUCGACUGCAGAAAGGACACUUCUGUGGUCCGCCCACCCUGGGCUGUCCUGGACAGUGACCUUCAGGACAAUCUGCUGGUCCCACUGAGAACAGUUUCAACAGCCACCUUCUCCAUGCCACCACCGUGCCACGCCACCCUCCACCGCGUGACCCCGUGCUGCUCGGCCCCUCCCCCCUUACACCCCACAUUCUAGAGCGUGUGAACAGAAGGCCUCAUUUCCAGCUUGACCGUCUGCCAGGCGCGUGACCGGGGGCCACCUGGUAUCUCUGGGCCUAGGCCCCUCACUUCCACAAUCGGCGGUUCCCACGAGGUACAGGAAGAGGGCAGUGAGCGAGGGGCCAGGGACGCGCCUUAGUGGUGGAGUUAUCUGAGUGGUAUUGUGAUAAUUAGCGUGAGCGAUGCCACAAAGGGAAGAAGAGGACGUGUUUUCUUCUGAAGCCGCCGUCUUCUCCCUGUCUUGCAAAGAAUCAAAGCUGAUUACUGGGACUUCCUAAUGAGGGUGGAAAUCUGAGCGCUGUGUACCCUGCCUCUCUCCAGGUAAGCAAAGGACAGCCCUCAGCCAUCAAUGUCCACAGCUAAUGCUCUCUGUGAAUCUGGGGCAGGGCUGUAAAGGGUCAGUGGUGGAAGCUCUCGGAUUGAUCGGCACACAGACAGAGGGGGUCACCCCCACUCCUGUGCAUCCACGUGUUCCUCAAACAAACAUCAAACGUGAACUUUGGCCACUGAAUGCUUCACUCGGAAAUGAAACAGACAGCCCCGCCCAUCCCAGCACACGGAAGAAGGUGAGGUACCAAACAGGGUGCCGGGAGGCUCUGAUCCGGCCGCAGACGUGGCUUAGCCUAAGACCACACGCUGCAUUGCAGACCUGACCUCCCUCCUCGUCUGAGCCGCACAAGGCUGCAGCCCCACUUCCGGACAGAGCCACUCCUCCCCACGGCGCAGCCUCUGCCCCAGGUCUGCUCAAAGCCAGCUCCCAGGAGAGCAUUCUCACGCCUCCUGCACAGCCCCCAUGCUGACUGAAGGCCCCGGUUGGAGCAGGUGUCGCCGGCAUGCUGGGCUCUGCAAGCACGUGGUCAUCGACCUUGGACCGCAUGAGCCGACACGACCCCAGGGUAGACACACAGAGGAGAUCUAGAGCUGCAGCUGAAACCGGGUGGUCUAGAGCCCCUCACCCUUCCACACCACGCAGGGGAGCUCCUCACCAGGUGCCAUGAGGCUCCCAGCCUCUAGGAAACCAACGCCACCAGUUACGCCGGAGCCCUCAUCCAUGCCAAGCCCCGCACCCCGGCUCCACAGGCUGUCGCUGCCACUGAGCGUCCGUCUGGGAGGAGACCUGCUUCCCACUCCACAGCUCUGGGCUUGGUGCAGCACCGCAGCCAAGAAAACCCAAGAACUUGCCAAGCACAGCAGCAGAAAGCGUCCCUGUUUCCUGCUGACCUAAUUAAUUCACAGUUUUCUGGACGAUUAAUCUCACAGAUGGGGUCAAAGGUCUACCAGUUGUAGGAGACAAAAAUCUCUGAAAACCAAAACACAGAGAUAACCUGGGAUUUCAUAGGUGCACACUUGGCUCCAAGCGCACGAAACUGCGCACAUUAAAUACACUCUGGCAUUUA